rnacentral:rRNA from 1 species
UACGUAGGGGGCAAGCGUUGUCCGGAAUCAUUGGGCGUAAAGAGCGUGUAGGCGGUUUGGUAGGUCCGUUGUGAAAACUCGAGGCUCAACCUCGAGACGCCGGCGGAAACCAUCAGGCUAGAGUCCGGAAGAGGAGAGUGGAAUUCCUGGUGUAGCGGUGAAAUGCGCAGAUAUCAGGAGGAACACCGGUGGCGAAGGCGGGUCUCUGGGCCGUAACUGACACUGAUAGACGAAAGCUAGGGGAGCAAAUGGG